rnacentral:rRNA from 1 species
GAGACCCGCUGAACUUAAGCAUAUCAAUAAGCGGAGGAAAAGAAACCAACAGGGAUUGCCCUAGUAACGGCGAGUGAAGCGGCAACAGCUCAAAUUUGAAAUCUGGCUCUUUUAGAGUCCGAGUUGUAAUUUGCAGAGGGCGCUUUGGCUUUGGCAGCGGUCCAAGUUCCUUGGAACAGGACGUCACAGAGGGUGAGAAUCCCGUACGUGGUCGCUGGCUAUUGCCGUGUAAAGCCCCUUCGACGAGUCGAGUUGUUUGGGAAUGCAGCUCUAAAUGGGAGGUACAUUUCUUCUAAAGCUAAAUAUUGGCCAGAGACCGAUAGCGCACAAGUAGAGUGAUCGAAAGAUGAAAAGCACUUUGGAAAGAGAGUCAAACAGCACGUGAAAUUGUUGAAAGGGAAGCGCUUGCAGCCAGACUUGCUUACAGUUGCUCAUCCGGGUUUCUACCCGGUGCACUCUUCUGUAGGCAGGCCAGCAUCAGUUUGGGCGGUAGGAUAAAGGUCUCUGUCACGUACCUCCUUUCGGGGAGGCCUUAUAGGGGAGACGACAUACUACCAGCCUGGACUGAGGUCCGCGCAUCUGCUAGGAUGCUGGCGUAAUGGCUGUAAGCGGCCCGUCUUGAAACACGGACCAAGGAGUCUAACAUCUAUGCGAGUGUUUGGGUGUCAAGCCCGAGCGCGUAAUGAAAGUGAACGGAGGUGGGAACCCGCAAGGGUGCACCAUCGACCGAUCCUGAUGUCUUCGGAAGGAUUUGAGUAAGAGCAUGGCUGUUGGGACCCGAAAGAUGGUGAACUAUGCUUGAAUAGGGUGAAGCCAGAGGAAACUCUGGUGGAGGCUCGCAGCGGUUCUGACGUGCAAAUCGAUCGUCAAAUUUGGGCAUAGGGGCGAAAGACUAAUCGAACUAUCUAGUAGCUGGUCCUGCGAGU